CCCUCCUUGAGUCACGGAACCUCACCCGGAACCUUAGUACCCAAUAAAGCCCUAAACUGCAAAAAUUCUUUUUGACUCUAACUCCUGUCUUUACCCCACACAACGCCUGACACUAACAUUUGGUGCCGAAACCCGGGAGGAGGUGGUAGCUCGCCUCCCUUGGCUGAACUCCCCCCUCCUCACCAAGCCAGAUGCCAACCACCCUACUCUCAAGAGCCUACAGGAGCCGCCCCUGAUAUUCGAAGAAAACUAACAAGGACCGAAGACGGACUUCAAACCCCUAUGGCCGACCUGGUAAAGAUGGCUUUUAAAGUUUUUAAUGGCCGAGAGGAAGCUCAAGAACAACAGCGACAGGCCCGUCUCCAACAAAAGGGACGACAGACUCGCAAUGCCUCCACGUGACGAGGCUUCACCCGGAUUGGACUCUGCCUUCCAACUGCUGGAGAUGGAGGAUGACAACUGACGAGGCCCAGACUCAGUAACUCCGGUGACCCACGCUGAGCCCAGGGUAAAACUCCAGGUAGCGGGGUGGAUAGAAGCCUUCCCCACCUCAUCUGAAGGGGCCUCCACAGUGGCUGAGAUUCUACUCAAGGACAUCAUUCCCUGCUUUGGUCUACCGAGAAGGAUACAGUCUGACAACGGGCCCGCUUUCAUCUCAGC